GACGAACGCUGGCGGCGUGGAUUAGGCAUGCAAGUCGAACGGUAUCAUCCUUUCGGGGGUGAGAGAGUGGCGAACUGGUGAGUAACACGUAGGUUAUCUACCCUCAAGACGGGGACAACCCAGGGAAACUUGGGCUAAUACCGGAUGUGAGCAACUUUUAGUUGUUUGAAAGGUGGCGUAAGCUGUCGCUUGGGGAUGAGCCUGCGUCCUAUUAGUUAGUUGGUGAGGUAACGGCUCACCUAGGCAAUGAUAGGUAGGCGGCCUUAACGGGUGGUCGCCCACACUGGGAUUGAGAUACGGCCCAGACUCCUACGGGAGGCAGCAGUCGAGAAUAGUCUACAAUGGUCGGAAGGCUGAUAGUGCGACGCCGCGUGAACGAUGAAUCCCUUCGGGGUGUAAAGUUCUUUUAUAUGUGAGCAGUGCUUCUUAUAUUAACAGUAUGGGGAGAGAGAUAUUAGCAUAUGAAUAAGCAACGGCUAACUCCGUGCCAGCAGCCGCGGUAAACUCGU
rnacentral:rRNA from 1 species